rnacentral:lncRNA from 1 species
AUUUAUGCUUCUUGUCUUCAUAACCCAUUGGCAGAAAAUAUGGUCCUUUGGAUUGGUUGGAGAUUUGAUUGUCCUCCCUCCUAGGUAUUGCUGGAGAAAAUAAAUAUAUGAGAAACGCUUUCCCACUUAAAACUGAUGAUUCAUGCUGCCAUUUCUUCUCAUUUUCUUUGUUUUGUCUCUUGGUGCCAAACAUAUACUAUACACCAGAAGGAAGGGGGAGGACAAAAGAAAGAUGAGAAACCCCAUUCUACAUAGAUUUGUGCAUUACAAUCACCUUCUAAAGAGAAUGAUGCAUUUCAACAGCUCCUUGUUCUGCCAGCCUUACAAAUGCUUCCAAAACCCUGCCAGCAGUGUGCUGUUUCAUUCAGUAUGUUUCACAUCGGAUUUGUGCUGCUGUCAAAGAGAAGCCAUUAUCUGAUUUGAAACAGGGAUGCUUGGCAAGACGUUUCGGGCAAUCCGGAUGGAUAUGUGUUUGCUUUUGCCCUACUUUCAUUCUACUCAGAAUUCGGAAUGAUAACCAUCUCACAGGUAGUGUGUUUCCAUUGUGUUAAAAAUGCCAUUGUAAAGUUACUUUCUAUUGUAACUUAUUAAAUAGUUAAUUGAUAUCAUGUAAUAAAAAGGAGCAAAAAACCCUCUGGUCCCUCUCA